GACGAACGCUGGCGGCGCGCUUAACACAUGCAAGUCGAGCGAGCGGCGGACGGGUGAGUAACCCGUGGUAACCUGCCUUAGACAUUGGGAUAGACUCGGGAAACCGGGAUUAAUACCACAUGCGCGAAGAUGGACUCGCGUCCCAUUAGCUAGUUGGUGAGGUCACGGCUUACCUAGGCUACGAUCCCUAGCUGGUCUGAGAUGAUGAUCAGCCAAACUGGGACUGAGACACGGCCCAGACUCCUACGGGAGGCAGCAGUGGGGAAUAUUGCACAAUGGGCGCAAGCCUGAUGCAGCCAUGCCGCGUGUAUGAAGAAGGCCUUCGGGUUGUAAAGUACUUUCAGUCGGGAGGCGUUACCGACAGAAGAAGCACCGGCUAACUCCGUGCCAGCAGCCGCGGUAAUAC
rnacentral:rRNA from 1 species